rnacentral:rRNA from 1 species
GAUGAACGCUGGCGGCGUGCCUAAUACAUGCAAGUCGAGCGAACUGAUUAGAAGCUUGCUUCUAUGACGUUAGCGGCGAACGGGUGAGUAACACGUAAGGAAUCUACCUAUAAGCGGGGGAUGACAUUCGGAAACGGGUGCUAAUACCGCAUAAUAUCUUCUUCCGCAUGGAAGAAGAUUGAAAGACGGCUCUGCUGUCACUUAUAGAUGACCUUGCGGUGCAUUAGUUAGUUGGUGGGGUAAUGGCCUACCAAGACGAUGAUGCAUAGCCGACCUGAGAGGGUGAUCGGCCACAUUGGGACUGAGACACGGCCCAAACUCCUACGGGAGGCAGCAGUAGGGAAUCUUCCGCAAUGGGCGAAAGCCUGACGGAGCAAUGCCGCGUGAGUGAAGAGGGCCUUCGGGUCGUAAAACUCUGUUAUAAGAGAAGAACAAAUUGUAGAGUAACUGCUACAGUCUUGACGGUAUCUUAUCAGAAAGCCACGGCUAACUACGUGCCAGCAGCCGCCGUAA